GAGAGAAAAGCCAUUUAGCAAAUCAAGAACAAAAAUACAAUCUAUGUUUGAAGAGCUGCAGGGAGCUGGAGGAAAAUUGGCUCUUGUGAUGAAGCAUUAUUCAGUCCAUCACACAUGUGAACUCCAAUUUUGCCCCUGAGGGCUGCAAAAUCCAGUUGGCAACUGUAUGGAGAUUCAUAUGGAAAACUAUCCUGGCUUUUUCUUCUUAACUCUCUAUAGGACCAUCCAUUUUGUAUCUUGAGUACUGCUGCAGUUUCUCUUGGAAGUCAUAAUUUGGACAUGC